rnacentral:rRNA from 1 species
AGCUCCAAUAGCGUAUAUGAAAGUUGUUGCGGCUUAAAAGCUCGUAGUUGGAUUUCUGCUGAGGACGACCGGUCCGCCUUCUGGGUGAGCAUCUGGCUCGGCCUUGGCAUCUUCUUGGAGAACGUAGCUGCGCUUGAUUGUGUGGUGCGGUAUCCAAGACUUCUACUUUGAGGAAAUACGAGUGUUUCAAGCAGGCGCACGCCUUGUAUACAUUAGCACGGAAUAAUAAGAUAGGACCUCGUUUUUAUUUUGGUUGGUUUCUAGAGCUGAGGUAAUGAAUAAUAGGGAUAGUUGGGGGGGUGGCAUUCGUAUUCAAUUGUCAGAGGUGAAACUCUUGUAUUUGUGAAAGACGGACUACUGCGCAAGCAUUUGCCAAGGAAGUUU